rnacentral:ncRNA from 1 species
CCUUGGCCGACAGGUCCGGGAAACCCGUUGAACCCCGGUCGUGCUAGGGAUAGGGAAUUGCAAUUAUUUCCCUUGAACGAGGAAUUCCCAGUAAGCGCGAGUCAUUAGCUCGCGUUGAUUACGUCCCUGCCCUUUGUACACACCGCCCGUCGCUACUACCGAUUGAAUGGUUUAGUGAGGUCCUCCGAUUGGACCCGGUCCGGGCGGCGACGUCCGAGCCGGCGUCCGAGAAGACGAUCUAACUUGAUCAUUUAGAGGAAGUAAAAGUCGUAACAAGGUUUCCGUAGGUGAACCUGCGGAAGGAUCAUUA